rnacentral:misc_RNA from 1 species
UUUCAGAACACUUUCGUAUAAUGAUUACUUUACGGCUGCAACAUACUAAUAAGAGUUUCUUCUGUUGUUUUCUUUGUGGAAGAAUUCCAAGAGCGUCAAGCAUUGAUUCUUCCAGCUCUUUAGUCUGCAAUAGUGUAGCCAGCAUGCUUAAAGAACCCGAAACUUGAAAGUCGUCACCAGUAGUAAUAUAAGAAAGUAAGGCCUCCCUUAACGCAGGAUAUGUGCUCCUAUGAUCUGAUUGAGAACUAUCGUCCUCUGGGUGAUUAUUUAAAGAGUUGGAUAUGAUUGGAAUAAAAACCCGUAAACUUUGACUAUCAGAAUCUGAUCUGAGGCCACUAUUUUCUGAAUCUUGAUUUUCAUGUGACAUAUCAUGGUUAACCAUGAAACCAUUCAGUUUAGCUUCAGACCUUGGGACAAAUGUUUCUAUAUCACAAAGAAG